ACGGGAGGCAGCAGUAGGGAAUCUUCCACAAUGGACGAAAGUCUGAUGGAGCAACGCCGCGUGAGUGAUGAAGGUUUUCGGAUCGUAAAACUCUGUUGUAAGGGAAGAACAAGUACGUUAGGUAAUGAACGUACCUUGACGGUACCUUAUCAGAAAGCCACGGCUAACUACGUGCCAGCAGCCGCGGUAAUACGUAGGUGGCAAGCGUUGUCCGGAUUUAUUGGGCGUAAAGCGCGCGCAGGUGGUUUCUUAAGUCUGAUGUGAAAGCCCCCGGCUCAACCGGGGAGGGUCAUUGGAAACUGGGAGACUUGAGUGCAGAAGAGGAUAGUGGAAUUCCAAGUGUAGCGGUGAAAUGCGUAGAGAUUUGGAGGAACACCAGUGGCGAAGGCGACUGUCUGGUCUGUAACUGACACUGAGGCGCGAAAGCGUGGGGAGCAAACAGGAUUAGAUACCCUGGUA
rnacentral:rRNA from 1 species